AGGUAGGGCGGAUCCCUUUUGGGUUCCGGCUCCGGCUCCUCCCCCGGUCCACCGAGGCGGCGCUGUACCUGACCGAGCGGCGGGAGCCAGCAACCCUCAAGGGAAUAAGAUGACGCAAUUGAGGAAGGGUGAAGUCACUUACCAUGAAGUCACACAGCAGAUUAUCCUGGAAACUCCAGGUUGUUUUAACUAUUGUAAAAAGCAGUUUAAGAUGUCAUCAUCAUGGUGGCACAGAGGAUCCCUUUGUCUCUCCCCUUCAACCAAAGUGAGUAAAACAUCCAUAACCCAACAAAGGCUAUGUUUCUCAACAUACCAAGACACUGGAGAGAUCCACACGUUGGUACAUAUGAAGGCAACCAGGAGCACCAGGAUUAUGCUGACAGCUAGAAGUAUGAGAAAGAGACAAGAUAAACAGAAUAAGUGACUCCAGACAACAGCAAAUUGUAAUGGCACAGUAGAAUAUUUAAAAAUUCUGAUUCUAUCCUCAGGAAGAUGUGGGAAGGUAUGACCUUUAUAAAACAAGAAAGGUUGCUAGUGGAAAGACACAAUUAGAAACUAAGAAAUAGCUUUUGGAAAUUAAACAUAUGAUAGUUAAAAUAAGAUAUUCAAGAGACAACUUGGAAGACCAAAUCAAAAGAGCCCCUAAAAUGUAGAGCAAAAAUACAAAGAUAUGGAAAGAAUAAAUAAAAGACAUAGAUCAGCCCAAGAGGUUUUUAUGAUGAAGACUGAUGAUUGUCCUUCAAAAUCUGUUCACCCAUUUUGGGGGGCACUUAACUAACCAACAUUUCCCAGUCUCCUUUGCAGUAAAGUAUAAUAAUAUGAUUUAAGUUCUUGCCAAUGGAAAAUGAGCAGAAAUGGUAUGUGACAUUUCUGGGUCUAGCCUCAGGAAAGCAGGCAUGCCUUCACUUCACUUUCUUUUCCCUUUUCACCAGCUGUAACCUGCAGGAACCCAGCUUUGAUGACUGAAGACUAUACAAUGUCCUAGUGUAGCCUUACCAGAUAAAACAUAGGACACCCAGUUAAAUUUGAAUUUCAGAUAAACAAUGAAUCAUUUUUAGUACAAGUAUGUCCCAGAUACUUCAUCCUAGUGGAUGGCAGAGCAACAGGAUAAAAGGAACUGGGUUCUUGAAUUUAUCAUGUAGCAAUGCUACCCUGCUCACCUCACAACCCUUAGUGAGAGAGAAACACACUUUUUUGCACUCCAAGCCACUGCUUUGUUGGGUCUUUUUUAUGACAUCCUAAACUUUCACCUUAACUAAUACUUAGAAGUGAAUUUCUUCCAUAACAUGACUGUGGCCCAUCUUAUCAUAUAUGGUGUCUUACUUUUACCAUUGGUCAUUUUUUCCCCCACAUUUUAACAUCUGCAAAAUUGGAACAUGUACAAUAAUUGAUGCUGCUUUAGAGAAAUGAAAUAUCACACUACAAGAAAGAGAUAAGGCCAUGAUCUCAGCAAGAUGGUGUGAUAGGAAGUCCUAGCCUUCAUCUCCAACAGAGACACUGACUUAACAACAAUGUAUGGAUCAAAAUACCUUUAUGAGAACUCCAGAAACCCAUAAGCUGUCACAGCUCAGUUUGGGUUGUUCUUUGGGAGGGUGGCUGGUAAGGUGGGGAGAAAAGCAGAUCAUGCAUCCAAUGUUCUGGCUUUGCAGAGGGCCACCAGAGGGAGUGGUUUCUGUCUCAUCUGAUUUGGAGUACUGAUGGGGAGCCAAAAUACUUCAGAUGCCACUGAGCACAACAUACUGUUCGAUGCUGCUGUGUCAGGUGGCUUGGUGCCGUGGCACCAGAGAACCUGCAGUACCAUGGACAGACACCAGAGGGAGCAAGAGAUUAUGGAAAGAGAAACCACCUGAAAAAGAAACCAGCAAACCUCUCUGAUUGGGAAAUAGCUAUACAAGCUCAGAGAAGUUGUAGCCACCAAAAAGUUUUCACAGGUCCUCAGAAUCUCUAGCUAGGCUGAUUAUUGAGGGUCUUCCCUUGCCUGAAGCCAGUCCAUAAGAAAAUCAGGAUAAUGAUGCAUGAACAAAAUGAGAAUAUCAACAAAGAGAUAGAAACUAUAAAAAAGAAGCAAGCAGGAAGAAAUAAUGGCCAAAAAACUCCCAAAACUAAGGAAGGAAAUGGACAUUCAAAUUCAAGAUGGUCGAAGGACUCCAAGUACGAUGAAUCCAAAGAGACCUCAUCAAGACACAUUAUAAUCAAACUGUCAAAAGUCAAAGACAAAGAGAGAAUCUUGGAAGCAACUGGCUACAUACAAGGGAGCACCCAUAGAAUUAUCAAUGUAUUCUCAGCAGAAACCCCACAGGUCAGAAGUGAGUGGGAUGAUAUAUUCAAGGCACUGCAAGGAAAAACCUGCCAACCAAUAAUACUCUACCUGCAAAAACCAUCUUUCAAAAUGAAGGAGAAAUAAGGACUUUCCCAGAAAAACAAAAGCUGACGAAAUUCAUCACCACUAGAUAUGUCUUACAAGAAAUCUCAAAGGGAGUCCACAAGCUGAAACAGAAGGAUUCUAGACAGAAACAUGAAAGCAUAGGAAAAUAUACAGCUGUUGGUAAAGGUAAAAAUAUAAAGAAAUAGAGAAUAUUGUAAUAUUGUAACGGUGUUCCAAAAAGCACUUAUAGUAUAGGAUUUAAAAGAUAAAUGAGUAAAAAUAACUCUAACUAUAAAACUAUGUUAAUGAACACAGUUUGUAUAAAGAUGUAGUUUGUGACAUCAGUAACAUAAAAUGGAAGGUGGGGAGAUGCAAAAGAGUUGGGGUUUUGUAUAUGAUUGAAGUUGUUAUCAGCUUAAAAUAGAUUAUUAUAACUAGAAGAUGUUUUGUGUAAGCCCUAUAGUAACCACACACACACACACACUCACACACACAAAAUACCUAUAGAAGAUACACACAAAAAAAUGAAAAAGGAAUCAAAGCAGGUCAAUACAAAAAACCAACACACACAAGGAAUGCAGAAAGAGAGGAAAAGGGACAAAAUAGCUACAAGACAGAAAAUGAACAAAAUGGCAAUAGUAACUCCUUCCCUUUUAGUAAUUAUUUUAAAUAUAAAGGGAUAAACUCCUCAAUCGAAAGACAUAGAGUGGCUGGGUGGAUUUAAAAACAAAAAACCAAAGAAUGAUACCCAACUAUAUGCUGUCUGCAACAGAGUCACUUUACAUAUAAAGACACACAUAAGCUGAAAGUCUAAAGAAGAAAAAAGAUUCCAUGCAAAUAGUAACCAAAAGAGAGCAAAAGUGGCCAUAUUUAUAUCAGAUA